CGGGAGAUGGCUUAAUAGGUAAAGCACUUGAAUUGGGUACAAGAUAAUACCAGUUCGAAUCUGGUUCCCCCGA